rnacentral:sRNA from 1 species
CUUAGAAGACUUUCUACCUGAGGCCGUCCCCUAGGAGUUUAGCCACCCCGUGGAAAGCCUGGCGCUGACCGUGGAAGAGGUGAUGGACGUGCGCCGUGUGCUGGUGAAGGCCGAGAUGGAAAAGUUUUUGCAGAACAAGGAGCUCUUCAGCAGUCUGAAGAAGGGGAAGAUUUGCUGCUGCUGCCGGGCCAAGUUCCCGCUGUUCUCGUGGCCGCCCACCUGUCUCUUCUGCAAGAGAUGAAGAUGCCUUCUAAGAAGUUUGGACACAUCCCUGUCUACACACUGGGCUUUGAGAGUCCUCAGAGGGUAUCAGCUGCCAAAACCGCGCCAAUCCAGAGAAGAGACAUCUUUCAGUCUCUGCAAGGGCCACAGUGGCAGAGUGUGGAGGAGGCGUUCCCCCACAUCUACUCCCACGGCUGUGUCCUGAAGGAUGUCUGCAGUGAGUGCACCAGCUUUGUGGCAGAUGUGGUGCAUUCCAGCCGCAAGAGCGUGGACGUCCUCAACA